rnacentral:rRNA from 1 species
GAUGAACGCUAGCGGCAGGCUUAAUACAUGCAAGUCGAGGGGCAGCAUAGGUAGCAAUACUUGAUGGCGACCGGCAAACGGGUGCGGAACACGUACAGAACCUCCUUCGAGCGGGGAAUAGCCCGAAGAAAUUCGGAUUAAUACCCCAUAGUAUUAUGAAGUGGCAUCACUUUAUAAUUAAAGAUUUAUCACUUGAAGAUGGCUGUGCGCCUGAUUAGGUAGUUGGCGGAGUAAUAGCCCACCAAGCCUGCGAUCAGUAACUGGUGUGAGAGCACGACCAGUCACACGGGCACUGAGACACGGGCCCGACUCCUACGGGAGGCAGCAGUAAGGAAUAUUGGUCAAUGGACGCAAGUCUGAACCAGCCAUGCCGCGUGGAGGAUGAAGGUCCUCUGGAUUGUAAACUUCUUUUAUUUGGGAAGAAAUGCACUUUUUCUAAAGUGCUUGACGGUACCAGAUGAAUAAGCACCGGCUAACUCCGUGCCAGCA